rnacentral:rRNA from 1 species
UACAGAGGUCUCGAGCGUUGUUCGGAUUCAUUGGGCGUAAAGGGUGCGUAGGUGGCGUGGUAAGUCUGGUGUGAAAUCCCGGGGCUCAACCCCGGAACUGCACUGGAUACUGCCAUGCUUGAGUACUGGAGAGGAGAUUGGAAUUUACGGUGUAGCAGUGAAAUGCGUAGAUAUCGUAAGGAAGACCAGUGGCGAAGGCGAGUCCCUGGACAGGUCCUGACGCUGAGGCACGAAAGCUAGGGGAGCAAACAGG